CCUACGGGAGGCAGCAGUGGGGGAUAUUGCACAAUGGGGAAAACCCUGAUGCAGCGACGCCGCGUGGGUGAAGAAGUAUUUCGGUAUGUAAAGCCCUAUCAGCAGGGAAGAAAGAAGACGGUACCUGACUAAGAAGCCCCGGCUAACUACGUGCCAGCAGCCGCGGUAAUACGUAGGGGGCGAGCGUUAUCCGGAUUCACUGGGUGUAAAGGGAGCGUAGACGGCCGUGCAAGCCAGGAGUGAAAGCCCGGGGCCCAACCCCGGGACUGCUCUUGGAACUGUGCGGCUGGAGUGCGGGAGGGGCAGGCGGAAUUCCUGGUGUAGCGGUGAAAUGCGUAGAUAUCAGGAGGAACACCGGCGGCGAAGGCGGCCUGCUGGACCGCGACUGACGUUGAGGCUCGAAAGCGUGGGGAGCGAACAGGAUUAGAUACCCGUGUAGUC
rnacentral:rRNA from 1 species